ncrna:Vibrio breoganii ZF-29 DABA-DC-AT RNA
GCAAUCUCAGAACACUCUGAGGGACACGCGUAAUAAGCCUGAUUGUGAUAUUACGUAGGGUAGGUAUCAAACGACCUUCGUUUGAUAGAUGGGAAUAAGAUGCCAAGAUGGCAUUGAGAAAGGCACCCAACA